AACGAACGCUGGCGGCGUGGAUAAGACAUGCAAGUCGAGCGGGAUUUCUUUUGGUAGCAAUACCGAAGGAAGUCUAGCGGCGAACGGGUGCUUAACACGUGGGCAACCUGCCAAGAAGUGGGGGAUAGCUCGCCGAAAGGCGAAUUAAUACCGCAUGUGAUUAGAGAGGACAUCCUUUCGAAAUUAAAGUCGGGGCAACCUGACGCUUUUUGUGGGGCCCGCGGCCUAUCAGCUAGUUGGUGAGGUAACGGCCCACCAAGGCUUUGACGGGUAGCUGGGCUGAGAGGACGACCAGCCACACUGGGACUGAGACACGGCCCAGACACCUACGGGUGGCAGCAGUCGAGAAUUUUUGACAAUGGGGGAAACCCUGAUCGAGCGACGCCGCGUGGAGGAUGAAGGUCUUCGGAUUGUAAACUCCUGUCAUUGGGGAACAAGGUGCAUACGUUAACUGCGUGUGCAUUGAUAGUACCCGAAGAGGAAGAGACGGCUAACUCUGUGCCAGCAGCCGCCGUAA
rnacentral:rRNA from 1 species